GCCUCCGUGGUGUAGCGGUCAACACGUCUGACCCGACCUGUCAGCUGAAGACGUGGGUUCGAAUCCCAUCGGAGGCG